UACGGAGGGGGCUAGCGUUGUUCGGAAUUACUGGGCGUAAAGCGCACGUAGGCGGCUUUGUAAGUUAGAGGUGAAAGCCCGGGGCUCAACUCCGGAAUUGCCUUUAAGACUGCAUCGCUAGAAUUGUGGAGAGGUAAGUGGAAUUCCGAGUGUAGAGGUGAAAUUCGUAGAUAUUCGGAAGAACACCAGUGGCGAAGGCGACUUACUGGACUGGUAUUGACGCUGAGGUGCGAAAGCGUGGGGAGCAAACAGG
rnacentral:rRNA from 1 species